CAGUGCUGAACUCUUGCUCAGCUUCUUUUAUCUCCUGCUCUGAGGCAGACUACUGUGAACCAGUGCAGAGACUAGCUUUAGUUUGUGAGGAAAAAUGGUUAUUUUUCAUCAUGGUGCCUUCAAGCUUCCAAUCAAGGAGGAAAUGUAGUAUAUAAUGGAGGGAUAUUUACCCUCCUUUCAGCUUCACAGCAGCUUCUGAGACAAAGUGGCUAAAGUGGCAGCAUUAAAAUAUGUCACUUCAUUUAAAGAUGUCAUUAUGCACGUAACCAUUCUGAAAUCACCUAGUACUUGAACAACACUAAAAUUAGCCAGUAUUGCUUUGUCUGUUCUCUAGGUGACUCCGAACGGGUGCUCACAUGUACAAAGCUGUCUGGCACCACAUUUCCAACACUGACAAGAGUUUAUACUUCAGGCAUGUGAGGAGAGCUGCUGAUGGCCAAAGCUGGUCCUUCCCAGCAAAAAAAUGGGCCACAAUCAAGGGACUGGAGCACCUGUCAUAUGAGGAGAGGCUGAGAGAGCUGGGACUGUACAACCUGGAGAAAAGAAGACUAGGAGGGAUCUUACCCAUCCCUGAUGGGGCCAGUAAUGAAGACAGAGCCAGGGUCUCCUCCCUGGUUUUCCAAGGCAUGGAAACAUCAUGAUAUAUAUUAUUGGUAGUACACAUUAAAGUAGCUGUAAGGGAGCUAUACAACUGUUCUUCCGUACAAAUGUAUGCCUGCAAAGCUGUGCAAGAAAGCAUAAAAGUUUGACAAUGAUCAGUCUCUCAGAAAAUAAUUAUGCAUUUUGGAAAGUCAGGAAACUGCACCCUAAAAGUAAGCAUGCAUAAAGGAGCAAAGAGAGCUCUGUGGAAAGGGCAUACCUAAGAAC